rnacentral:tRNA from 1 species
UCCGCUGUAGUCUACGUGAAUAAAACGACUCAGUGGUUAGGAUGCCUGGUUUUCACCCAGGAGACCCGGGAUCAAACCCCGGCAGCGGAA